rfam:Trachymyrmex cornetzi contig15584, whole genome shotgun sequence.
AAACGGCCCUUUUCAGGGCCACAUAAAUUGUAAACAUAAAAACGG